GGAAGUAAAAGUCGUAACAAGGUUUUGCUAAGCAACAGUCCUUCUGUAGCAGAGCUUAACGGAGACCUUGCACCCGAGAGGGGGGAGGCGACUAUAAACAAGUCCCAGUGCAAGUCAGCGCCGCUGGCGACACAAUCGAAUUGCGGGGACGCUUUAAAGCUCAGUGGUACCAACCCUCCGGAUGCCGGAGGGGGCGGGCAAUGCCCGAGGUCAGAACCCACCGAGAUGUACAAUAAGCAAUCCGCAGCGGCCCGUUUGGACCGUCCACAGACUAAGUGGUUGUGGGGAGCCCCAGCUCCUUAAGAUAUAGUCGGGCCCGGUGAGCAGUCACCGGGGGUUCUGCGUCCGUAGGUGAACCUGCGGAAGGAUCAUUACAAGUGAGGCUACCGAACGUUGGAAACAGCGGUUAGGAGCUUACACCCACCCGUGUUUACAUACUAUUGUUGCUUUGGCGGGCCGUGGCCUCCACUGCGGGCUCUGCUCGUGU
rnacentral:misc_RNA from 1 species